UGUCUGGACUAUCUUCAGUGCCAUUCACCCACCGUAAGCCAUAAAAAAAUCAAGGGAGGCAUAAAUAAAGACGGAGUAGUGGACCAGUCAGUUACCAAACUCACUCAGACUGCCGCCAUGCUAUAUUUGUAAAAUGGAUUUCAUCAGCUGACAGCCUUCCAAGAAAACAAAUAGAAUCAAAUCUGCUGCGGAUCCCAGACUGAUUUUAUGGAACCAUUCAAGCUCGGAAGAGAGGAUUGCUUGGCCUGAUAACAGCACUCACUCAGUUGAUUGAUGCCCGAGCUCCAUUCCUGAGAUUGAUGGCGAUACGCCAGGACCGGUCCUGUGUGUUCACAGUUAACCUCGCUCCUCUUCCUCAAUUGCUUCCUCCCUCUUUUCAUAGGCUUUGCUAAUAAUGGAUUAUUAUAUGUAAAUAUGC